rnacentral:rRNA from 1 species
GAUGAACGCUAGCGGCAGGCCUAAUACAUGCAAGACGAACGGUAAGUUGAGUAGCAAUACUUAGCCAAGAGUGUCGUACGGGUGCGUAACACGUAUGCAACCUACCCUAUACAGGAGGAUAGCCUAGGGAAACCUGGAUUAACCCUUCAUAGUAUUAUUGGAUGGCAUCAUUUGAUAAUUAAAACUGAGGUGGUAUAGGAUGGGCAUGCGUCUGAUUAGUUAGUUGGCGGGGUAAUGGCCCACCAAGACGAUGAUCAGUAGGGGUUCUGAGAGGAAGAUCCCCCACACUGGCACUGAGAUACGGGCCAGACUCCUACGGGAGGCAGCAGUAGGGAAUAUUGGGUCAAUGGAUGCAAGUCUGAACCAGCCAUGCCGCGUGCAGGAAGAAGGCCUUCUGGGUUGUAAACUGCUUUGCCAGGGAUAAAUUCCAUGCGUGGAAAACUGAAGGUACCUGGUGAAUAAGCCACGGCUAACUACGUGCCAGCAGCCGCGGUAAU